GGAUGGUGCAGAGUCUCCUGGGAGCUUCUGGGUUCCCCUUCUCCCACUGAAAUGAAGAGUCCUUUAUGCUGUGAGAGACUUGACAGCUUCUUAUCUUAUGUGGAGUUCAGAGACCUGUAAAACCCUAUUGCCUGGCAUCCUUUUCAGCAGAUCACAAGGCAGGAAGACAGAGUCCCAGCCUCUAAGAGUUUACAGUCUAAAAAGGCAAAAAAAGAUGCAACUUGGGGAGAAGGAAUACAGCACACAGGCAAAAGGAUUAGGGCUCUACAUUCUUUCCAAACUCCAUUAAAUGAUGAAUUCAUGAAAAUGCAGAAGACAAAAUGAAUUCUGUGAAAAACAAUUUCUGUCUCUAGAGUGCUAGUAAAAGCAAAGGAAAUGUGUGACAACAAGAUUAUACCCCAUCUUAUACCAGAGGUCAUGUGUAACUUGUUGAGACGUACUGGCAAAUUAUAAAUAUAAAAACUUCAGGUUUGUGGUAUGAGUCAGUUUGCAUUUAUCUUGUAUUGUCUGUUCAUCCACCAACAGAAUGAAUAAUAACCACUUUGAGCCAAGUUCAUUCCUGGUGCAGUACUUUUUGGUUUCAGAGGAGUUAAACCAGGAACGAAUUUGGUCCACAAUACGGAAUUAAUUAUAUAUCCUCUGGUUGAUGAAGCAAACAUUAUUUUUAUUACAUUUAUGGAAAAAAAAUAACAAAGCCGUUAGUAAUUUCAAUUAAUUGGAAACAAUUACCUAUAGGAAUGGAAACAUUUUAUCCUGAAGUCUCGUUUGAUCAGCUCACAAGAGCGAAUUACUGCUGUAUUAUUUCUCUCACACAUAACUCUCUGAAAAUGACACAUUUUUAAUCAUAUAGAAACAAAUAUUUAUCCAUAUUGCUUGUCACUCAGUGGUCCUUAGGAGAAAAUCUUAUUAGA